ACGGAAGGCAGCAGUGAGGAAUAUUGGUCAAUGGACGGAAGUCUGAACCAGCCAUGCCGCGUGCAGGAAUAAGGCCCUAUGGGUCGUAAACUGCUUUUGUGGUGGAGCAAUAAGGCGUACGCGUACGUCGAUGAGAGUACAUCACGAAUAAGCAUCGGCUAACUCCGUGCCAGCAGCCGCGGUAAUACGGAAGGUCCGGGCGUUAUCCGGAUUUAUUGGGUUUAAAGGGAGCGUAGGCGGACGUUUAAGUCAGCUGUGAAAGUCUGCGGCUCAACCGUAGAAUUGCAGUUGAAACUGGAUGUCUUGAGUGCACGCAGGGAUGCCGGAAUUCGUUGUGUAGCGGUGAAAUGCUUAGAUAUGACGAAGAACUCCGAUCGCGAAGGCAAGUGUCCGGAGUGCAACUGACGCUGAGGCUCGAAAGUGUGGGUAUCAAACAGGAUUAGAUACCCUGGUA
rnacentral:rRNA from 1 species